rnacentral:misc_RNA from 1 species
AAGAUGCAUUAAGUUAUUAUCAUCAGGUGCAUCUCAUGGUGCCUCUCUAGCUGUUGACAUCGCUCUGUCUUGCCUCCAGCAUGCUGCAGCGGGUUUGCCAGAUGAGGGUGAACAUGUGAAGAUGGUGGCGGCUUUAAUUUUUCCCUUUAUUAUGAUCACUCUGAAGACCCAAAAAUUAAAUCUGAAAGCUCUUGAAAUGGCCAAGCAAAUUAAGUGGCCUUUCUA